UGCCAGCCGCCGCGGUAAUACGGAGGGUGCGAGCGUUAAUCGGAAUUACUGGGCGUAAAGGGCGCGUAGGCGGUCGCGCAAGUCGGGUGUGAAAGCCCCGGGCUCAACCUGGGAAUUGCAUUCGAUACUGCGUAACUAGAGUCUGGUAGAGGGAAGCGGAAUUCCGCAUGUAGCGGUGAAAUGCGUAGAUGUGCGGAGGAACACCAGUGGCGAAGGCGGCUUCCUGGACCAAGACUGACGCUGAGGCGCGAAAGCGUGGGGAGCAAACAGGAUUAGAUACCCUGGUAGUCCACGCCCUAAACGAUGAGGACUAGACGUUGGGGGGAUAAAACCCUUUAGUGUCGCAGCUAACGCGUGAAGUCCUCCGCCUGGGGAGUACGGCCGCAAGGUUGAAACUCAAAUGAAUUGACGG
rnacentral:rRNA from 1 species